UACGAAGGGGGGCUAGCGUUGUUCGGAAUUACUGGGCGUAAAGCGCACGUAGGCGGCUUUGUAAGUUAGAGGUGAAAGCCCGGGGCUCAACCUCGGGUCGGCCAUGCGAACUGGGUCACUGGAGCACUGUAGAGGCAGGUGGAAUUCCGGGUGUAGCGGUGAAAUGCGCAGAUAUCAGGAGGAACACCGGUGGCGAAGGCGGGUCUCUGGGCCGAUACUGACGCUGAGGUGCGAAAGCGUGGGAGCAAACGGG
rnacentral:rRNA from 1 species